GAUGAACGCUGGCGGCGUGCCUAAUACAUGCCAGUCGAGCGAACAGACGAGGAGCUUGCUCCUCUGACGUUAGCGGCGGACGGGUGAGUAACACGUGGAUAACCUACCUAUAAGACUGGGAUAACUUCGGGAAACCGGAGCUAAUACCGGAUAAUAUAUUGAACCGCAUGGUUCAAUAGUGAAAGACGGUUUUGCUGUCACUUAUAGAUGGAUCCGCGCCGCAUUAGCUAGUUUGUAAGGUAACGGCUUACCAAGGCGACGAUGCGUAGCCGACCUGAGAGGGUGAUCGGCCACACUGGAACUGAGACACGGUCCAGACUCCUACGGGAGGCAGCAGUAGGGAAUCUUCCGCAAUGGGCGAAAGCCUGACGGAGCAACGCCGCGUGAGUGAUGAAGGUCUUCGGAUCGUAAAACUCUGUUAUUAGGGAAGAACAAAUGUGUAAGUAACUAUGCACGUCUUGACGGUACCUAAUCAGAAAGCCACGGCUAACUACGUG
rnacentral:rRNA from 1 species